rnacentral:lncRNA from 1 species
CCUCCCAGGCCUCUCCAGGCCAGGCCACAGCUGGGGAAGGACAGUCUGUCCCCCCGCAGGUUGGACGGUUGCUGCCUCUACCACCUGAAGGGCUGACCUUGGGAAUCCACGUCUCUAUGGAAGGGAUGUGUCCGGGAUGACGGAGGCUGACAGCUCCACCUCUGGGCAUGGUCACUGCUGCUAAAUUUAAGCCUUUCUCCUCUUAGGGCGGAAGCCAUGAGGACCAGAGCCUUAAUAUAGCCGCCAGGCGCCCUGCACUCUCCUUCCCACCAGCCCUCCCUGCGCUCUGCCCAGCCAGCCAUAAACAACCAGACGAGCCGGAGGUUGGCAGGCAAAGUGGCCCGGCCCCUUAUCAGAGCGACAGGACUAAAAGGAAAGUCACUUUACCUGCACUGCCUGGACCUGGGCAUACUGACUUCCCAUCACCUUUUGAACUAAAGCAGAUGCCCAGGCAGCCUUCAGGAGGAGGGCGCCGCACCUGGAAAUCCCCAAAGACCUUGCAGCGGCCCCUCCAGCCUGCAGAAAGUGUCCACCAAGACCCUCGGUGCUCGGUCCUGGGCACCCUGGGGGAGGGAGAAGGCCCUGGUGAAGCCCCAAAACAGUAUGGGCAGCAUAGAAAAAGAAGAGAGACGCAGAGCCCCGUCAGCUGGGGCUUCCUGACCCAGAACCAUUUAUAGAGCCCUCCCGCUUCAAGCCCUUAAUUUAUGGCUUCAUUCAGAGCAGAGCAGCAAGGCUGAAAGCACCCCAGGCCCUGAGCCUGCAGCCCUCACUCCUCAAAGCAGGCCCGGAGGCUGGCACGUCCUCACUCUCCCACCAUUCCUGGACCUGGCUGCGGCCAACCAACGGGGUGCUCCUUGACACCCGUAGGUGUGUCUUGGCCAAACACGGACACUGGAUCCCGAGAGCCGCCCUGUACAGGCAUAAACCCGACCGGGCAUCUGAGUCCUGGGGACACACCACAUCUCCACUGUGCUGGGACCGCAGCUUCCAGGGGUGGGCUCAGGGAGAGGGUCAGUCUCUCCUUUGCUGUUGCAAAAGACAGCUCAUGGCUAAGUGACCAUGAUGCCUCUAAGGUUUGUCUGAAACAUGCAACGUGCUCAUUAAGGAGGGAACAUGGGAGGAUCACUCGAGCCCAGGAGUUUGAGACCAGCCCGGGCAGCAUAAUGAGAGCCCAUCUCUACAAAAAAGUAUAAAUAAAUAAAUAAAUAAUCCAGGUGUGGUGGCGUCCGCCUGUGGUCCCAGCUGCUCAGGAGUCUGAGGUGGGAGGAUCACUGGAGCCCAGGAGUUUGAGACCAGCCCGGGCAGCAUAAUGAGAGCCCA